UAAUACAGAGGGGGCGAGCGUUGUUCGGAAUUACUGGGCGUAAAGGGCGCGUAGGCGGCCUGUUAAGUCGAACGUGAAAUCCCCGGGCUCAACCCGGGAACUGCAUUCGAUACUGGCAGGCUUGAAUCCGGGAGAGGGACGUGGAAUUCCAGGUGUAGCGGUGAAAUGCGUAGAUAUCUGGAGGAACACCGGUGGCGAAGGCGACAUCCUGGACCGGUAUUGACGUUGAGGCGCGAAAGCCAGGGUAGCAAACGGGAUUAGAUACCCCGGUAGUCCUGGCCCUAAACGAUGAAUGCUUGGUGUGGCGGGUAUCGAUCCCUGCCGUGCCGAAGCUAACGCAUUAAGCAUUCCGCCUGGGGAGUACGGUCGCAAGGCUG
rnacentral:rRNA from 1 species